rnacentral:rRNA from 1 species
CAGCAGCCGCGGGAAUACGGAGGAUCCAAGCGUUAUCCGGAAUCAUUGGGUUUAAAGGGUCCGUAGGCGGUCUUGUAAGUCAGUGGUGAAAGCCCAUCGCUCAACGGUGGAACGGCCAUUGAUACUGCAGGACUUGAAUUAUUGGGAAGUAACUAGAAUAUGUAGUGUAGCGGUGAAAUGCUUAGAGAUUACAUGGAAUACCAAUUGCGAAGGCAGGUUACUACCAAUUGAUUGACGCUGAUGGACGAAAGCGUGGGUAGCGAACAGGAUUAGAGACCCCAGUAGUCCCUGUCUCUUAUAC